rnacentral:rRNA from 1 species
AUUCCAGCUCCAAUAGCGUAUAUUUAAGUUGCUGCAGUUAAAAAGCUCGUAGUUGGAUUUCGGAUGGGAUUUGCCGGUCCGCCGUUCCGGUGUGCACUGGCCAGUCUCAUCUUGUUGUUGGGGACUAGCUCCUGGGCUUCACUGUCCGGGACUAGGAGCUGACGAGGUUACUUUGAGUAAAUUAGAGUGUUCAAAGCAAGCCUACGCUCUGAAUACAUUAGCAUGGAAUAACAUGAUAGGACUCUGGCUUAUCUUGUUGGUCUGUGAGACCAGAGUAAUGAUUAAGAGGGACAGUCGGGGACAUUCGUAUUUCAUUGUCAGAGGUGAAAUUCUUGGAUUUAUGAAAGACGAACUACUGCGAAAGCAUUUGUCAAGGAUGUUUUCAUCA